GACGAACGCUGGCGGCGUGCCUAAUACAUGCAAGUCGAGCGAAGUUUUUCUGGUGCUUGCACUAGAAAAACUUAGCGGCGAACGGGUGAGUAACACGUAAAGAACCUGCCUCAUAGACGGGGACAACUAUUGGAAACGAUAGCUAAUACCGGAUAACAGCAUAAAUCGCAUGAUAUAUGUUUAAAAGUUGGUUUCGGCUAACACUAUGAGAUGGCUUUGCGGUGCAUUAGCUAGUUGGUGGGGUAAGGGCCUACCAAGGCGACGAUGCAUAGCCGACCUGAGAGGGUGAUCGGCCACACUGGGACUGAGACACGGCCCAGACUCCUACGGGAGGCAGCAGUAGGGAAUCUUCCGCAAUGGGCGAAAACCUGACGGAGCAACGCCGCGUGAGUGAAGAAGGAUUUCGGUUCGUAAAGCUCUGUUGUUAGGGAAGAAUGAUUGUAUAGUAACUAUAUACAGUAGAG
rnacentral:rRNA from 1 species